GACGAACGCUGGCGGCGUGCUUAACACAUGCAAGUCGAACGCUGAAGCACCAGCUUGCUGGUGUGGAUGAGUGGCGAACGGGUGAGUAAUACGUGAGUAACCUGCCCUUGACUCUGGGAUAAGCCCGGGAAACUGGGUCUAAUACUGGAUGCUACAUGUCACCGCAUGGUGGUGUGUGGAAAGGGUUUACUGGUCUUGGAUGGGCUCACGGCCUAUCAGCUUGUUGGUGAGGUAAUGGCUCACCAAGGCUACGACGGGUAGCCGGCCUGAGUGGGUGACCGGCCACACUGGGACUGAGACACGGCCCAGACUCCAACGGGAGGCAGCAGUGGGAAAUAUUGCACAAUGGGCGAAAGCCUGAUGCAGCGACGCCGCGGGAGGGAUGACGGCCUUCGGGUUGUAAACCUGUUUCAGCAGGGAAGAAGCCACAAGUGACGGUACCUGCAGAAGAAGCGCCGGCUAACUACGUG
rnacentral:rRNA from 1 species